CCUACGGGAGGCAGCAGUGAGGAAUAUUGGUCAAUGGACGAGAGUCUGAACCAGCCAAGUAGCGUGAAGGAUGACUGCCCUAUGGGUUGUAAACUUCUUUUAUAUGGGAAUAAAACGUUCCACGUGUGGGAUUUUGUAUGUACCAUAUGAAUAAGGAUCGGCUAACUCCGCGCCAGCAGCCGCGGUAAUACGGAGGAUCCGAGCGUUAUCCGGAUUUAUUGGGUUUAAAGGGAGCGUAGGUGGAUUGUUAAGUCAGUUGUGAAAGUUUGCGGCUCAACCGUAAAAUUGCAGUUGAAACUGGCAGUCUUGAGUACAGUAGAGGUGGGCGGAAUUCGUGGUGUAGCGGUGAAAUGCUGAGAUAUCACGAAGAACUCCGAUUGCGAAGGCAGUUCACUGGACUGCAACUGACACUGAGGCUCGAAAGUGUGGGUAUCAAACAGGAUUAGAUACCCCUGUAGUC
rnacentral:rRNA from 1 species